rnacentral:rRNA from 1 species
AUUGAACGCUGGCGGCAUGCUUUACACAUGCAAGUCGAACGGCAGCGCGGGCUUCGGCCUGGCGGCGAGUGGCGAACGGGUGAGUAAUACAUCGGAACGUGCCCAGUAGUGGGGGAUAGCUCGGCGAAAGCCGGAUUAAUACCGCAUACGACCUGAGGGUGAAAGCGGGGGAUCUUCGGACCUCGCGCUAUUGGAGCGGCCGAUGGCAGAUUAGCUAGUUGGUGGGGUAAAGGCCUACCAAGGCGACGAUCUGUAGCUGGUCUGAGAGGACGACCAGCCACACUGGGUCUGAGACACGGCCCAGACUCCUACGGGAGGCAGCAGUGGGGAAUUUUGGACAAUGGGCGAAAGCCUGAUCCAGCAAUGCCGCGUGUGUGAUGAAGGCCUUCGGGUUGUAAAGCACUUUUGGCGGGAACGAAAAGGACUGUGCCAAUACCACGGUUCGAUGACGGUACCCGCAGAAUAAGCACCGGCUAACUAUGU